GAUGAACGCUAGCGGCAGGCCUAAUACAUGCAAGUCGAACGGAUAUAUGUUUUUCGGAAUAUAUAUUAGUGGCGCACGGGUGAGUAACACGUACAUAACUUGCCCUCAAGCGGGGGAUAGCCUUGGGAAACUGAGAGUAAUACCCCAUAGAAUUAUUGGACGGCAUCGUUUGAUAAUUAAAACUACGGUGCUUGGGGAUAGAUGUGCGUCUGAUUAGCUAGUUGGUGAGGUAACUGCUCACCAAGGCGACGAUCAGUAGGGGGCGUGAGAGCGUGGCCCCCCANACGGGUACUGAGACACGGACCCGACUCCUACGGGAGGCAGCAGUAAGGAAUAUUGGUCAAUGGAGGGAACUCUGAACCAGCCA
rnacentral:rRNA from 1 species